rnacentral:antisense_RNA from 1 species
UGUAGGUGCACAAAAGACAAGGGUUUAUUGUAGGGCGAGAACUACCGCGUGGAUAAGGCCGUCUGGGAAGGAGUGACGUCGGAGUAGAGCCGAGAGGAGAGGGAGCGAGUCGGGGAGUGCCUGGCACGUUGAAGAGCCACAAAGAGGAAGGAGGGCGCAAGGACAGAGACCGAUGAGAAAGGCAGGACCACCACGCAGCACACUAAGGACUUGCGUUUACUCCGAGUGAGAUGCGGUGCUGAGCAUCGGCUGCGUAGACUGAGGCGCGCCGGCCGUUGCCCCUCAAGUCCCCGAACCUGUGCUCAGCCCGGCUGCCCCGCGGCUCCCGCGGCCACACGAUUCCCCAUCCCGCACGCCCACUCGCCUCGUGCGGGCCGUAGACCACCGCCAGCGCCUUGGUGUUGCCCUGCUCGAUGUAGGCCGAGCCGUCAGCCUGCGCGAACACGCCCAUCCGCGCCUGGAUCUUGCGCAGCUCCCCGGCGCGCCGCCCGUCCACCCGGUAGCCCUGGUCCGACAAGAGCUCCAGCCCCGCCAUGCUGCCCGGCCGUCAGCUCCGCUCUCUGCCUACUUCUCUGAGCCGCGGGAGAACUACAGCUCCCGGCGGCUCCGACCUUCCCGAAUCUACGGUUUCCGGCGGCCGGCCAUCACUUCCGGUUCCGGGGAACUACAGCUCUCCGCGGCCCCGACCUCCCUGGAUCUACGGUUUCCGGCGGUCAGCUGUCACUUCCGGUCCCGGGGAACUGGAGUUCACCGCGGUCCGAACCUCCCCGGAUCUACGGUUUCCGGCGGUCCGGCUCCGCUUCUGUCUCCGGGGAACUGCGGCGGCGCCGUCGGGGAAGCAGCAGCUGGGCCCGCAGCCGUUCCCGGAGCUGUGCCACGGGUGCCAGGAGGUGGGCGCCCGCCGAAGGAGGAAUUCCCCAGUCACGCCCUCGUGACCAGUGGUGCCUGCAUUCAGCCCUUCCCCGCGCCCCAAGCGUGAAAGUGGAAAGAUCAAUCCAGUGGGUUGCGACACUGACAGGAGAAGGCAUUGAGCGGUCCUAGGAAAGUGACCAGGCUGGUGUCCCAGGAUGGUCCACACCUGGCACCUCUCCAGUCCUCUCAUGCCCUCCUUUUACACCGAGCUUCCACACUGCAGUCAGGUGGGCCUCCCUUUUCCCUUUGAGGAUGCAGAUUUCCUCAUCCUUUGCAGAGAGGGGUUGUAUGUCUUGCCACUUAACCUCAGCGGCUUCAAAGAAUAACAAUCAUUCUAUUA